AAUGCUAAUACCGCAUACGUCCUACGGGAGAAAGCAGGGGAUCUUCGGACCUUGCGCUAAUAGAUGAGCCUAAGUCGGAUUAGCUAGUUGGUGGGGUAAAGGCCUACCAAGGCGACGAUCUGUAGCGGGUCUGAGAGGAUGAUCCGCCACACUGGGACUGAGACACGGCCCAGACUCCUACGGGAGGCAGCAGUGGGGAAUAUUGGACAAUGGGCGCAAGCCUGAUCCAGCCAUGCCGCGUGUGUGAAGAAGGCCUUAUGGUUGUAAAGCACUUUAAGCGAGGAGGAGGCUACUGAAGUUAAUACCUUCAGAUAGUGGACGUUACUCGCAGAAUAAGCACCGGCUAACUCUGUGCCAGCAGCCGCGGUAAUACAGAGGGUGCAAGCGUUAAUCGGAUUUACUGGGCGUAAAGCGCGCGUAGGCGGCUAAUUAAGUCAAAUGUGAAAUCCCCGAGCUUAACUUGGGAAUUGCAUUCGAUACUGGUUAGCUAGAGUGUGGGAGAGGAUGG
rnacentral:rRNA from 1 species